AUGACAGAAGAGAGUGAGCACACAAAGCCAAAUUGUACCGAAGUGACUUGUUGUAUGAUUGUUUUGGGUGCUCACUGCUCUAUCUGUCAU
rnacentral:pre_miRNA from 2 species